rnacentral:rRNA from 2 species
AAUCCAUAGGUUAAUGAGGCGAACCGGGGGAACUGAAACAUCUAAGUACCCCGAGGAAAAGAAAUCAACCGAGAUUCCCCCAGUAGCGGCGAGCGAACGGGGAGGAGCCCAGAGCCUGAAUCAGCAUGUGUGUUAGUGGAAGCGUCUGGAAAGGCGCGCGAUACAGGGUGACAGCCCCGUACACAAAAGCGCAUGUGCUGUGAGCUCGAUGAGUAGGGCGGGACACGUGGUAUCCUGUCUGAAUAUGGGGGGACCAUCCUCCAAGGCUAAAUACUCCUGACUGACCGAUAGUGAACCAGUACCGUGAGGGAAAGGCGAAAAGAACCCCGGCGAGGGGAGUGAAAAAGAACCUGAAACCGUGUACGUACAAGCAGUGGGAGCACCCUUUGGGUGUGACUGCGUACCUUUUGUAUAAUGGGUCAGCGACUUAUAUUCUGUAGC